CCUACGUGAUGCAGCAGUGGGGCAUAUUGCACAAUGGGGGAAACCCUGAUGCAGCGACGCCGCGUGAGUGAAGAAGUAAUUCGUUAUGUAAAGCUCUAUCACCCGGGAAGAAAAUUACGGUUCCUUAGUAAGACGCCCCGGCUCACUACGUGCCCGCAGCCGCGGUAAUACGUAGGGGGCAAGCGUUAUCCGGCUUUACUGGGUGUAAAGGGAGCGUCGACGGCGGUGCAAGUCUGGGGUGAAAGGCGGGGGCUCAACCCCCGGACUGCUCUGGAAACUGUAAGGCUGGAGUGCAGGAGAGGUAAGUGGAAUUCCUAGUGUAGCGGUGAAAUGCGUAGAUAUUAGGAGGAACACCAGUGGCGAAGGCGGCUUACUGGACUGUAACUGACGUUGAGGCUCGAAAGCGUGGGGAGCAAACAGGAUUAGAUACCCCUGUAGUC
rnacentral:rRNA from 1 species